rnacentral:rRNA from 1 species
UAGGGAAUAUUGGGCAAUGGAGGGAACUCUGACCCAGCCAUGCCGCGUGCAGGAUGAAGGCGUUAUGCGUUGUAAACUGCUUUUUAUAUAGGAAGAAAUAGUCCUUGCGAGGAAAGUUGACGGUACUAUAUGAAUAAGCACCGGCUAACUCCGUGCCAGCAGCCGCGGUAAUACGGAGGGUGCAAGCGUUGUCCGGAUUUAUUGGGUUUAAAGGUGCGUAGGCGGUUUAUUAAGUCAGUGGUGAAAGACGGUCGCUCAACGAUUGCAGCGCCAUUGAUACUGGUAGACUUGAGUAUGAUUGAGGUAGCUGGAAUGGAUAGUGUAGCGGUGAAAUGCAUAGAUAUUAUCCAGAACACCAAUUGCGUAGGCAAGUUACUAAGUCAUAACUGACGCUGAGGCACGAAAGUGUGGGUAUCAAACAGGAUUAGAUACCCUCGUAGUCCCUGAGCGGGCUGGCAAGGCGCAU